CACGUAGGGCGCAAGCGUUGUCCGGAAUCAUUGGGCGUAAAGCGCGUGUAGGCGGCUCGGUAAGUCUGCUGUUAAAGUCCAGGGCUCAACCCUGGGAUGCCGGUGGAUACUGUCGAGCUCGAGUCCGGAAGAGGAGUGUGGAAUUCCUGGUGUAGCGGUGAAAUGCGCAGAUAUCAGGAGGAACACCAAUGGCGAAGGCAGCACUCUGGGACGUGACUGACGCUGAGACGCGAAAGCGUGGGGAGCAAACAGG
rnacentral:rRNA from 1 species